rnacentral:lncRNA from 1 species
UUCAUCAAUCCAUCGAAAAUCCAUUAAAAUUGAACAUCACAAGUUCAAUAUUACAAGUCCCGCACAAUUGCAUCAAAGUUCAACAUGACAAGUACUGUGGCGAAUACAUCAAAGUUCAACAUGACAUGACCCGCACAAAUGCAUCAAAGUUCAACGUGGCUACUGUGACCAUCACAAAAUGCAUUAAAGUUCAACAUGACAACUCUAUUAUUAAAAGGUCAACAUAGCUACUGCGGCAAAGACUCAAAGGGUGGCCUCCCGGGCUACUGUGGCGAAGACUCAAAGGGUGGCCUCCCGGUUGUCGGUGAAGGAUUGACGGGAUCAACCGCCGGUGGUGCAUUAGCGUUUGAACCCGCCGAUGGAGGCUGCACAAAAGAGAGGAGAUGGCAUGUUUUAGACUCGAUCAAAAAUUAAAAAUUUGGGCAGCACCUCCCCUGCACGGGGAGGUUUCCAACCUGCAAGAAAACAAUGGCUCGAAGGCCGACAAUACCAACGGCACGAUGGCCGGAAGUCACAACGGCACGAAGGCCAACCAUCCCAACGGCACGAAGGCCAACAUAAUUCAACUUUCAUACUCACAGGAGUGUAGUAUCCAGCCGCUAGCACACCUUGUCCUUGCCCCAUGCUUUGAAUGAGCUGGGUCACCUGAGCGGUCAGCUGCGCCACCUGAGUGGUCAGCUGCGCGUGCUGAGCGGUCAGCUGCGCGUGCGACUCCUUUGUUUCAUUCAGCUCGGCC